GUUAGCGGCAGGCUUAACACAUGCAAGUCGAGCGCGAACGGUCCUUCGGGGCUAAGUAGAGCGGCGCACGGGUGAGUAACACGUGGGUAAUCUGCCCUCCGGCGGGGGACAACCACUCGAAAGGGUGGCUAAUACCGCAUACGUCACUUUGGUCUGCGGACCGAAGUGGGAAAGCUGGGUUUCGGCCUGGCACCGGAGGAGGAGCCCGCGGCGCAUCAGCUUGUUGGUGGGGUAACGGCCUACCAAGGCAAAGACGCGUAGCUGGUCUGAGAGGAUGAUCAGCCACACUGGGACUGAGACACGGCCCAGACUCCUACGGGAGGCAGCAGUGGGGAAUAUUGGACAAUGGGCGAAAGCCUGAUCCAGCCAUGCCGCGUGAGUGAUGAAGGCCCUCGGGUCGUAAAGCUCUGUGGAGAGGGACGAAACGUAC
rnacentral:rRNA from 1 species